rnacentral:rRNA from 1 species
GACGAACGCUGGCGGCGUGCCUAAUACAUGCAAGUCGAACGCUUUUUCUUUCACCGGAGCUUGCCCCACCGAAAGAAAAAGAGUGGCGAACGGGUGAGUAACACGUGGGUAACCUGCCCAUCAGAAGGGGAUAACACUUGGAAACAGGUGCUAAUACCGUAUAACACUAUUUUCCGCAUGGAAGAAAGUUGAAAGGCGCUUUUGCGUCACUGAUGGAUGGACCCGCGGUGCAUUAGCUAGUAGGUGAGGUAACGGCUCACCAAGGCAACGAUGCAUAGCCGACCUGAGAGGGUGAUCGGCCACACUGGGACUGAGACACGGCCCAGACUCCUACGGGAGGCAGCAGUAGGGAAUCUUCGGCAAUGGACGAAAGUCUGACCGAGCAACGCCGCGUGAGUGAAGAAGGUUUUCGGAUCGUAAAACUCUGUUGUUAGAGAAGAACAAGGAUGAGAGUAAAACGUUCAUCCCUUGACGGUAUCUAACCAGAAAGCCACGGCUAACUACGUGCCAGCCGCCGCGGUAA